rnacentral:rRNA from 1 species
AGAGUUUGAUCCUGGCUCAGGAUGAACGCUAGCGGCAGGCCUAAUACAUGCAAGACGAGCGGUAAAUGAUUCAGCAAUGGAUUAUGAGAGCGUCGUAAGGGUGCGUAACACGUAUGCAAUCUGCCCGGAACUGGAGCAUAGCUCGGGGAAACUCGGAUUAACUCUCCAUAAUAUCACUGAAUGGCAUCAUUUGGUGAUUAAAACUCAGGUGGUUCCGGAUGAGCAUGCGGAUGAUUAGCUAGUUGGCGGUGUAACGGACCACCAAGGCGAUGAUCAAUAGGGGAACUGAGAGGUUGAUCCCCCACACUGGCACUGAGAUACGGGCCAGACUCCUACGGGAGGCAGCAGUAGGGAAUAUUGGACAAUGGGUGCAAGCCUGAUCCAGCCAUGCCGCGUGCAGGAAGAAGGCUUUCUGAGUUGUAAACUGCUUUUGCCAGGGGAUAAAAUACGCUUGCGAGCGGAAUUGAAGGUACCUGGUGAAUAAGCCACGGCUAACUACGUGCCAGCAGCCGCGGUAAUACGUAGGUGGCAAGCGUUGUCCGGAUUUAUUGGGUUUAAAGGGUGCGUAGGCGGCAUUUUAAGUCAGUGGUGAAAUACGGCAGCUCAACUGUCGAGGUGCCAUUGAUACUGGGAUGCUUGAGUACUGAUGAGGUAGGCGGAAUGGACGGUGUAGCGGUGAAAUGCUUAGAUAUCGUCCAGAACACCGAUAGCGAAGGCAGCUUACUAAGGAGUAACUGACGCUGAGGCACGAAAGUGUGGGGAUCAAACAGGAUUAGAUACCCUGGUAGUCC